AAUUAUGUCUAGAUCUAAUAUCUUUAAUUUAAUCUAGAUUUAACUGUUUAAUUGUUGAAGUUUUUAAAUAUAUAAUUACGAUCGUAGGACGUUUGAGACGAAUCUCACAGAUUUCACAGAAUGUAUUACCCCAUAAAGGAAUACGCACCUAAAAGGCUAAAUGGUUGCAAAGCAGAGGGCAGUGGACAAAUGAAAAGAAGAUAAAAAUAAUCUUGAUCUAGUGUAUUCUUCAAAGGCAAACAUGAAGUUUAACAUCACUAAUUGAUUAAAGCUGUAAACAAAAAACAACAAUGAAACUUUGAUAAACUUAGCUUAAACUUAAAUUAGAUGGCUGCUUGGUAGUGUGGUAUGCACUCUGGAUUGUCCUUUGGUGGUCUCAAUGGUCCAGGGUUCGAGCGCUGUGCCAGCUGCCAUCCCCUGUUGUCCUGCAGGAGGUUUGGGCCAGGAUAUAAUUAUCUUCAAAUCUGAAGGAACAUCCGAAACAUGUAAAGCAUUUUACAAAACAUUACAGCAUGGAAAGAUUUGUUUGAAGUCGCAGGGGAAAUAAAUGACUUUAUGUAUAGGAUGAAAUCUGUUUUGAAGAGACAUUUUAAUUUAUAAGAUUAAGAAGAAUUAGUUUUCAUUGAUGUCACUGUCAUACUGACUUGAUAGCUUACAAGUUAUGACAUUUCACUCUUCUACAUUUGAUCUGUCAGUGACUGUCAGCUCACAUUGCAGCAUAUGCUACACUUCAAAUGUUCCCUUUGUCUGUUAGUCAUUAGGGACACCACAUAUGAACUGACAACCGUCUCUCUCCAUUCCCCUCUCUCUUUUGCUAGGCUUAGAGUAUCUUCUAUAAAGAGGCGAGGCCUGUCCAUUCCUUAAUGCUUUCCUCCCAUCACUACCUACAUCUACCUCUUCUUCUUUCCCCUGUUACUGUUCCCUGCAAAAAAGUCUUGCGAGCCCCAAGGAUAUUGGCUUACUCAUUAGACUACAAAUGUAAUCCUUUAAGAGCUAUACAUGGACCAUAUGUUUGUUGUUUUGUUUUUAGACAAAAAUUGUGAAACAAACUUCAAAUCUGACUGUAUUUAAAAGUCUUCAGCCUUUAUAGACAACCUUUUUUUUUUGUGACACAAUGAGUAAAACACCAUUUGUAUUUAUUUAUCUAUUUAUUUACCAUUAUUAAGAAUCUAUCAAAGUUAAGAAGAAGAACUGCAAUGACAGAUCCAGUCACUGUGAAACAAGUGCACACACACACACAAUCUUUCUGAUUUAAAUAGGUAAUUUAAUUUAUUGUCUCAAUUAUGAUGAACAUAUUUACAAGCUAAUAAUUACAAAUGCUAACCUAAGGGAUUUUAAUUGUGUGUGCAAAUAGAAGCUAAUACAUUAUAAUCAUUAUUAGAAUUACAAAAAUAACACAUUUAUGAUAGCAAUCUGUGUAUGUUUCUGAUUAAUAGUGUCGCUGAUAGUAAUCAUCAUAAUGCCAACAAAGCAUGUUCAUGGUACUGGAAGGAUCUUGAUGUCAAUAACAAUAUGAAGAUAACUAUGUAAUGAAGCCCUUGAAGAGAACAUUGGAAAGAAGACAGAUGUGAAUACAUUAAAACCUCUAUAACAAGACAAUAGCUUAACACCAUCUCUUGUGUAGCACACCCACCUGUGAUUAUUGGUUAUGUCGUUUGAAGACAAACAAUAAUUUCAUCUGUUUUAAAAUAACACUACUUCUUAGCUUUACCAAUAAAUGAAUAUUCCAAAACUGUGAACUAAACUUGCUAUGAGCGACCACUGAAUUAGACAUAUCAUCUAGAUGUACAAUGAAAAUUGUGCCAACUUUAAUAUUUAUGUUUUGGUUUUCUUGAGAAAAUGCAUCAUGAAUAAUCUAAAUUUUUAUCCUUAUUUUGGGGAAACUAAGAACAAAUCUCAUGACUUGCAAAUGUUAAUAUGCGAAGAAUGUAAAAAAUAAAGCAGUCACAAAUGGUUUAAUACUAACUAUAGCCACAGUUUAUACUAUGGCUAUAUUAUCUUAUAGAUUACAGACAUUACUUCAAAAGAUGAUAAUUGUGAAGUGUCAUUCUAGAAAUGUGUGUUUAUCAGAGACUUAAACUCUGCUAAAUUGUUGUUUUUCCUGGCUAAUUCUGGCAACCCAUUCCAUUAAGUAUGAAUUUGUCCUAGCAUACGGGAUAAGAAAUGUGCCCCUAUCUGUUUUUGUAUUCCAAAUAUUUUAUUAGGUUUUGUAAUUGUAAAUUAUGGUUUAGUGUUUUAUGUAUUAUUCCUCCUUUUCUUUUCUCUCUAUUCUUCUGUUCUGAAGUGUCUCUAAAUUUAGUGAUUUUACUAAUUGUGUUACUCUACUCAAAUGUGAAUAUAUAUUUUUUUUAAACAUCACUGCUCUAUUUUGUGUAAGAGCCUAAACAGAGGAUGCAUAUUCUAAUAUUGGCCUGACAAAGGUUAAAUAGCAUUUUAGUUUAAUGUUUCCUGUGUGGUUUGUAAAAAAUAUCUAAACCACUCUUGCAUCGUUACUAAAAUGACAAGAGUUUAGUAUUACAUAUCAAAUCUGGAAUGUAACAGCUUAAAAGAAUUAGAACAACAGCUAAGAAAAAAAGGUAGGCUAACAAAGAUUUCUGAGUGAAAAAAAAAACUUUAACAAGAAAUAUGUUAUAUAUAUAUAUUUAUCCAUACAUUUGGCUUACCAAACCCUGAAUUAUAUUUGGGGUACUGAAUGUCUAAUGUUUCUAAACUAUGUGCUACUUCAAAGUGUGAUGUCUGUUAUUACUAAUACAGCACUAUUAGUUUUAUUUUAAUUUCAAUAAAUCUUUAGCAGAGACUGAAGUCUAAGUUUGAAAAUAAGGGGACACCUAAUAGAAUCAAAGAAAGAUUAAGAGCAAAUGAAAAAGUUACAGCAGGGCAGAUGAUGUAGAGUCAUAAACGAAGGAUGCUCUUUCUAAAGAAUCAAGUGUGGCAGAAGGCGAUUCAUGUAGUACUGGUAUUUAAAAGCAAUAUAGAUCUAUAUAUAGUUCAUGCGUGAGAGAAUAAAUAGUUCUCAACAUUAUUUAAGUUGUAUGCCAAAAUUAGAUAUCUUUUUAUUAUCAGGUUAUAUACAUGUUUACAGAUAUAAUGGUUAAUUAAGAACAAAAUAUCCAAAAUCUAUUCUCUUUACUAUAAGAAUACACGUUUAUGUAAUUCUUUUGUAUUCACCUUACCACAUCUUUUUGUCAGAAAUAAGAAAUAAUAUGUUGAUAGCUUCUACAGACUAAUAUAAAAAUAUAAUCAUAUUUUACACAAUAAAUGAACAUAAAUGGUUGCAGUUUUACCCAAGGUUAAGAAAAUGUAUAAAUAGAUGUAAAUUUCUGGGAUUUACAAAAAAAAUGUGUGUGUAGCUUUAUUUGUUAGAAGUGAAUUUAUACAAAGGAGACAUUUACCAUAAAUCAUUGCAUUCUGCUAUUUUCUCAACAAAACUUUUAUAAGCUGUUGAAGCUUUAGUAGCUUCUUCGCUAACCUAUUCAAAUAAGUAGGAAAUUUUAAGAACAUGAAUAAUUAAGACCCAAGCAAAUAAGGUUAUAUUUUUCUAUUGUUAACAAUGACCAAGAAAAUAGUAAAUGUUACUUCUACUUUACUACUUGAACAAUAUUAUAACAUGAAUGUUAAGCUUUUUCCUUGACCUUUCGGCACAAGAUGUCAAGUGUUAAUAAAUAUGGCCAGAUAUCUUUUAAUAAUUUUGCCAUUUUAUACUGAGAACAUCCCACAGAAAAAUUAUAUAUAUAUAUAUAUGGCUUUUUUGUGACAGUAUACAUAGGCGUACCGGCACCUUUUUCAAUGUGGGGAAAAAAUUAUUACUUUUCUUGUAUAUUAACUUUUAUUAUUGAUAUAUUAGUAGUUAAAAGUUAGGCAAUCAAUCACUGAGUACCGGCACCUAUUUUUUUUU